UACGGAGGGUGCAAGCGUUAAUCGGAAUUACUGGGCGUAAAGAGUGCGUAGGCGGUUAUUUAAGUCAGAUGUGAAAGCCCCGGGCUUAACCUGGGAACGGCAUUUGAUACUGGGUAACUCGAGUUUGGGAGAGGCAAGUGGAAUUUCAGGUGUAGCGGUGAAAUGCGUAGAGAUCUGAAGGAACACCAGUGGCGAAGGCGACUUGCUGGCCUAAAACUGACGCUGAGGCACGAAAGCAUGGGUAGCAAACAGG
rnacentral:rRNA from 1 species